rnacentral:tRNA from 1 species
GCCUGGGUGGCUCAGUUGGUUAAGCAUCUGACUCUUAGUUAAGUGUCCUACUCAGGUUAUGAUCUCAUGGUUCGUGGGUUCGAGCCCCACAUUGGGCU